GGGCAUUUGGUCUAGUGGUAUGAAUUUCGCUUUGGGUGCGAGAGUUCCCGAGUUCUAUUCUCGAUCGGUAUGCCCC